UAGCGUAUAUUAAAGUUGUUGCGGUAAAAAAGCUCGUAGUUGGACUUCUGUUGAGAGAUACCGGUCCAUGCAACGCAUGCGUAUUUGGUAAGUCUCGGCAUCCUCUCGAAAAACUUCUUUGCGCUUGAUUGCGUGAAAAGAGUUUCGGGACUUUUACUUUGAGGAAAUUAGAGUGUUCACGGCAGGCUAUCGCCAGGAUACAUUAGCAUGGAAUAAUACUAUAGGAUCUUGAUCCUAUUUUGUUGGUUUCUAGGAUUAAGAUAAUGAUUAAUAGGGACAAUUGGGGGCAUUCGUAUCAACACGUC
rnacentral:rRNA from 1 species